AGACAAUAACAUUCUGAAAGAUAAAAGGAGAGACCCCCCUGACUUCGUCGUCUUCUUCAAACAACCAGCCCCUCAAACCAGCGAGCUCUUCAUCUCUUCACGCUCAACAGCCUUCACCAUCCACUCGCCGGAACUCACGCGGACACACACAUGAAACACACACAUACACAGAGUUGUUCUUGUUCUUUUACUCAAAAGAGAGGUCCUGAGUUCUGUUCGUUGUCCUAUUCAUAUCCCCAUCCUUUUGAGGUUGUCCGGUCAAGCUCGGAUCGGGGAAACAGUUUGGUGCUCGAGGUUGCCGGUUUGAGGAUCGUCGUAUCGAAUUCCGGUCACAACUGUCUCUUGUUUCAGUCCGUGUAACUGUUGGAAUUUUUAUUAAUUGAAAGAAAUUUCAGGUUUAUUUUUCACUUUCAUGUAUUUAUUGGGUCAUAACUAAUUUUGAUAUACAUGUGUUUAUGUGGUAAUAGUAAUUUGGAUCUGUUCUCUUC